UACAGAGGUCCCAAGCGUUGUUCGGAUUCACUGGGCGUAAAGGGUGCGUAGGCGGUCGGGUAAGUCUGAUGUGAAAUCUCCAAGCUCAACUUGGAAAUGGCAUCGGAUACUAUUCGGCUCGAGGAAUGGAGGGGAGACUGGAAUACUUGGUGUAGCAGUGAAAUGCGUAGAUAUCGGGAGGAACAUCGAUGGCGAAGGCAAUCACCUGGGCCUGAACUGACACUGUGACACGAAAGCGUGGGUAGCAAACAGG
rnacentral:rRNA from 1 species